AGAGUUUGAUCCUGGCUCAGGAUGAACGCUAGCGAUAGGCUUAACACAUGCAAGUCGAGGGGCAGCAUUAUUUUAGCUUGCUAAGAUAGAUGGCGACCGGCGCACGGGUGCGUAACGCGUAUGCAACCUGCCUGUAAUUAGGGAAUAACCCGGUGAAAGUCGGACUAAUACCCUAUAUUCUUCUUUCUCCGCAUGGAGGAGGACGGAAAGAUUUAUUGAUUACAGAUGGGCAUGCGUCCCAUUAGCUGGUUGGUAAGGUAACGGCUUACCAAGGCAACGAUGGGUAGGGGGACUGAGAGGUUGACCCCCCACACUGGUACUGAGACACGGACCAGACUCCUACGGGAGGCAGCAGUGAGGAAUAUUGGUCAAUGGGCGAGAGCCUGAACCAGCCAAGUCGCGUGAAGGACGACGGUUCUAUGGAUUGUAAACUUCUUUUGUAGAGGAAUAAUGGCAGCUACGUGUAGCUGAGAUGCAUGUACUCUACGAAUAAGUAUCGGCUAACUCCGUGCCAGCAGCCGCGGUAAUACGGAGGAUACGAGCGUUAUCCGGAAUUAUUGGGUUUAAAGGGUGCGUAGGUGGCGUAUUAAGUCAGUGGUGAAAAGCUGCAGCUCAACUGUAGUCUUGCCGUUGAAACUGAUAUGCUAGAGAGGAGACGAGGUAUGCGGAAUGUGUGGUGUAGCGGUGAAAUGCAUAGAUAUCACACAGAACGCCGAUUGCGAAGGCAGCGUACCAGGCUCCGUCUGACACUGAAGCACGAAAGCGUGGGGAUCAAACAGGAUUAGAUACCCUGGUAGUCCACGCAGUAAACGAUGAAUACUAGAUUUUUGCGAUAUAGUGUAAGAGUCUAAGCGAAAGCGAUAAGUAUUCCACCUGGGGAGUACGCCGGCAACGGUGAAACUCAAAGGAAUUGACGGGGGCCCG
rnacentral:rRNA from 1 species